UUUGAUCUCAAAUCAGGUAGGACUACCCGCUGAACAAAA
rnacentral:rRNA from 1 species